ensembl:lncRNA
CUCUGAUGUAUCAUGAUUCAAUAAGCCUGAGCGGUUCGUCACAGGCUUGUGAUACCCAUUUUACUGCUAAAGAAGCUAAGUCUCAGGUCACGUCGGCUGUCCGAGGUUACACAGGCAACCUGAGAUCUCGACUUGGGUUUCAAUCUAGCCCUCUCCGCUCGGUGUUUCCUGCUCCGGGUAGUGGAUGUUUACCCUCUACAGAGUGCCUAAGGCCCAAGGCGCCCCUCGCUGGGACCGACUAACGGCCCUGGAGCUCCAGAAUCAGACGUUCUGAUUCGCUCGGGCCCCCGACGUUCAAGCCGCGCCUGCGCACGACGCCCGGACGGCGCGGGCCGGGUCCGCCUAGGACCCGGGGGCGGGGCGGACCGGGGAGGGCUGGGCGGAUCCGGUAAGGCGGGGACCCGCGGAGGGCAAGCGGUAGUUGCGCCUCGCGCGCCGGGAGCGCGGCCCCGCGUCCCAGCGUCCUCGGCGUCUCCCGGGACGACCUCGGGCGCUUCUCUCUCCGAGCCGUUAACUGGAUUCGGGAGGCGGGGGUCAUGCCAACUACCGAAGGGGCCAAUCAAAGGCCUGGAAAGCCCUAUAUGCAAAUAGGGGGGCCGGGCGGACCCCAAAUUAGGAGCGGCUCGGGUUGGGGUUAGGGGUUGUCUGGCAGCCAGAGGGAGCGUGUCUCCUUCGAGGAGGGGACCCACGAGUGUGGUUGAGAGCUAUACGGGCGGCAGAGCGGGGGCGAGACGGGGGAAUAGGAAUUGCGGGCGUUAUUUCUCACCUUCCUGAAGGAAAACCCUUCUAGGCUUGAGGAAAGUUCUUUGGGAUUUGAACCCUAGGGAAGAAUGUAACAUAUUUAUUAAUAGGAAUGAACUUGGGAAGGGGGCUACAGUUUACUAAACCCUAGUAUGUGCUAGGCACUUAAGUUAUUUAUUGUGUACACCAGUGCCACAAUUAUAUUUUCAUUUUACAGUAGCCCUUAUUUUGAACCAAGCAUUACUUUAAGAGCUUUAGAAAUAUUAACUCACUUAAUCUUUAAAGCAACCCCAUGAGGUGAAUAUAAUUUUACUUACGAGGGAACUGAGGUACAGAGAGACUCACUCACCCACAGUCACCCUUCUGUUACAGUAAGCGGUAGAGGUGGGGUUUGGAUCCAGAACCAAUCUGUCUUUGCUAGUUACGCACUGCGUAUUGUGGAGAAAAUGACUGGGUAUGAGCCUGCCUGAAAAUUGCAUCUUCCAGUCUUACAGAAUGCCUUGAUUUCUAGCAGAAUAAAAGAUGGCAUCUGAGUCGGCAAGUUUCUUGUUCGCAGGGAAUGUGGCCAGUUAUUCUCAGCACUUAUUGGCAAAACCCUUGAAUAGUUGAGUACCUCCCUUGUUAGUCUGUGUUUUGCUAAGGGUCCCUUCAGGCCCUGUGCUGAAAUUCAAAGGGUGGAUAGAAUGAAAAGCCAAAAGACCAUAGUGAAAGUGAAAGUCUCUCAGUUGCGUCCAGCUCUUUGUGACCCCAUGGACUGUAUAGUCCAUGGAAUUUUCCAGGCCAGAAUACUGGAGUGGAUAGCCGUUCCCUUCUCCAGGGGAUCUUCCCAACCCAGGGAUUGAACCCAGGUCUCCUGCAUUGCAGGCAGAGUCUUUACCAGUUGAACCACCAGGGAAGCCCUUCCUUUCUGAAGUCAUAGUUUUAUGCUAAAAUAUAGACCAAAUAGUGCUCAAAUUGACUCUGGUAACAAGGGGCAGAAAAAAAAAAACAACCUUGCUAGAGUAGGGGAAGGAGUGGAGGCCCAUAGUAGGCAUUUUAUUUUAUCUUGCCCACUUCAAAGUUCAAAGCACUUUCCUGGAUAUUAAGCGUUUAUCUUCUUGGUGAUUCUGUAAUGAUGGAAAAGAUAGGAAAUGAGGGUGAAUAUAAGCACUGGCUUCUAAAUAUGAUAUCCUAUGUCAAACAGGCAAAGCUAAAAGCAAGAUUCAGAGAUCUUACUCCAUAUCUUUUUUUGCCCUAUCUCCUAUCUUUUCUAAGAGCUAGCAGAGGCGUUCUAUGCUUCUGGUAGGGGAAUGAGGACCAAAAGAUGAAAAGGUGAGUGGAGUGCAGGAAAACCUGUUAUUUGGAGGAAGAGAAGGAAGUCACAGGCAGACACAGUAGGAAAACUCAGUGCUGAAUGAAUUCCUACAGACCAAAAGAAAAGCCUGGGUUGUGAAGGUCAGGGUUAAAAAACCUAGGCUAACAUUUGAAACACUUAACAACCAAAUGAUUCUUUCCUCCCUUUUACAGACCCCCAUAUUAAUCCCUGGUAGCUCAGCUGGUAAAGAAUCUGCCUGAAAUGCAGGAGACCCCAGUUCGAUUCCUGGGUUGGGAAGAUUCCCUGCAGAAGGGAUAGGCUACCCAUUCCUGUAUUCUCGGGCUUCCCUGGUGGCUCAGACGGUAAACAAUAUGCCUGCAAUGGGGGAAACCUGAGUUCAAUCCCUGGGUUGGGAAGAUCCCCUGGAGGAGGGCAUGGCAACCCAGUGUAGUAUUCUUGCCUGGAGAAUCCCCAUGGACAGAGGAGCCUUGCAGGUUGCAGUCCAUCGGUCGCAGAGUCAGACAUGACUGAGCAACUAAACAUAUUAAUUCCGCCUAGCAAAGGAAAGCACUAAACAUUUCCCACCCUUCUGUAGCACCUCUCGGGCCCAGAAGAGUAGUCAACAUGUGUCGUCUUUGAGAAGUAGAAAUGAGUCCCUCCAAGUAACCUGCAUUGUGUUUGCUUGCGUAGAGCUCUCCCAGUGCUCAUCCCCUCCCCCUGGUGGCCAAUGGAAGUCAUUUUCAUGCUGUCACUAGGCUUUGGUUGGCAACCUCUACUUGGAAGAUCCUAAGAUCAAAUCCGAUAACAAAAUGCAAACAGGUUUUUUUUCAUGGUCUUAACUAUUUUACCUGGGAAGGGGAAUUGACUGUGUCUUGUGUUAGCAAGAAAAACAAGAUGAUAUUUGCUAUGUUUGCUACAUAUAUUUGUGCAGCAUAGUAUGUAUGUUGUUUUUGCUUUAACUCCCCAAGUCCCUUGGUCUAUAUUGCCUGCCCACUGACUGGCCUAAUGGAAAGCUAUGUCAAAGGGCAGGAAGCUGGGGCUUUGAUCCUGGCUCUGCUGACUUCUCUCCGGCUUUCUACAAAUUGUCCCUCUCCGCUAGCUGGGAAGGGGAUUUCAAAACCUCUAAGAAGCAAACAGACUGAACUGGACAAUUUCCAAGGUUCCUCCCAGCUGUAAUAUUCAGGAGUUCCACUGGAACAUGCUCUAAUUACACUCAAAUAAGAGCCCUGGUACAGUGUGGACACUGGCGAAAAGAAGGGAAAGAAACAGAGUAAUACAUAUACAGUAGGAACAAUAGGGCUGGUCUCAGAUUAUGUCAGGUCUGGGGAGAUCCAGGCCCCUUGUUGGAAGUGGGAAUUUAGAAGUAUUUGGUUUAAAGGAAAAUGGUGUGGGACCAGCUGAUUCUUAAGAGGCUAACAUCACCAAGACUGCUUCUGGGAGCUAGGAAAUCAGUCGCUUCACUUUAUGGUUACGGUCGUUUACGGGUGGUUGGAGAGGAAAAGGCAGUGGAUGGAGUGUAGAGGAGAGACAGGCUGUGGGGUCAGAUGAAUAUGAAAAUAGCUUCUAAUCCCAGGUCUGCCUCUUACCCUCUCUGUGUUUCAGCCUUCUCAUCUGUAAUAGAAGUAAGAGAGUAUCUAUGGUAUGAUAUUAUGAGGAUGAGAUGAGACAGUAUGUAUGUAAAGUGCUUUAGUAUAAUUAAUACCUGUUAUACUUGGUAAGUAUAAUUAAUACCUGUUAUACUUGGUAAGUGGGCUUCCCAGGUGGCGCUAGUGGUAAAGAAUCUGCCUGCCAAUGCAGGACACGUAAGAGAUAUGGGUUUGAUCUCUGGGUUGGGAAGACCCCCUGGAGGAGGGCAUGGCAACCCACUCCAGUAUUCUUGCCUGGAGAAUCCCAUGGACAGAGGAGCCUGGUGGGCUAUACAGUCCAUAGGGUCACACAGAGUCACACAGGACUGAAGCGACUUAGCACACACGCAUGCAUUCUUGGUAAGUAGGUUGUAAAUAGUAUUUACUAUUAUAGUGAAUGAAACUGUCUUAAAUGCCUGAUAUAUGAAAGGAUGCAAAGUCAAUGCUUUACGAAAGUUGCUUUUUAUGCUCACACAACAUUUCUAUUCUAUAGAUGAGGAAAAGGAACCUUAGAAAGGUGAAACUAGUUUCUGCAUUUAUUCAUCCUUCCAGUCCAUUCAUUCAAGAAGCAUAGGGAUCUCUGUUAUGUGCCAGACACUGUGGCAAGCGUUGAGAAUUCACAAUAGCCUCUUCCAUCAGAGAAGUCACAGUCCAGGGCCACACAGCUGAGAAUGAUAGCAAAUAGUGGGCACCUGCUAUGUGCCAGGCACUCUCCUAAGCAUACUGUAUUAACUCAAACGAAUUACUGCAUUUAAUUCUCAUGGCUGGGGUACACCAUUUUACAGCUGAGGAAGGUAAGCUGUUAUGAUAAGUAAAUUGCCUAAGGUCAUUCACCUAGGAAGUGGAAUCUAGGCAGAUAGACUCCAGAAUCUUGAGUUCUUCCACUUCCUUAUAGCUGCCUCUUGGUAAGUGGUUUAAAGCCACAUCCCUUACUGCACAGGCCCUUUGUUGUUGUUUUCAGUUACUCAGUGUGACCCCAUGGACUGCAGCAUGCCAGGCUUCCCUGUCUUUCUCCAUCUCCCGGACCUUGCUCAAACUCAUGUCCACUGAGUUGGUGAUGCCAUCCAACCAUCUCAUCCUCUGUCAUCCCCUUUUCCUCCUGCCUUCAGUCUUUCCCAGCAUCAGGGUCUUUUCUAAAGAGUCAGUUCUUCUCAUGUGGCCGAAGCAUUGGAGCUUCAGCAUCAGGCACAGGCCCUUCCACUGGGAUAUAAGUACCAUAUUUCAGGAUGCUAGCAGCAGCCCCCCUCCCUUCUUUGUAUUCUCCUUAACCUUGUUCUUUAAAUCUGUGGCCUCACCUCUUUUGAUUUCUGAAGGCUGCAAGAUUGCUUUUGACCACAUUUUAAGACAGGAGAGUAGGUAGGAACCCCCAGGUUAACAGGGAGUAGUUGCUGAGACUAGGAAAGAAAAGUUGAGAUCUGCUAACAGAGUCUGAGUAAAUUCAGAUGUCUGUGGGGUCAGACGUGGAGCCUAAAUGAAAGAGAAGUGAUCUAGUGUUUCCUCUCUCUCUUAAUGCUGCUAAAUGGAGAACAAUAACGUGAGGGUAACUGUCACUUGGCUCCUGAAUCAGGGAGACAAUAGGGAAUGAUAGGGACGGAGGCAGACUGGAAAGUGUCUAGAGAGGGAGCCAUUGCUCAGUUCUGGUUGAUGGCUGGCCUGAAGCAAUUGGACAUCUAGAUUUUCAGGACAGGUCUACAUUUCCCAGUUAUUGGCAGCUACUCCUCUCUUACGUCUCUAACAGUGAUGACCACCACCUUGGGGCAAGUAGACGUUUCUGUAGGCGAGAUUCAGUAGGCGAACCCUGGUGACAAAUGUUGAGCGAGCUGUUCUCUUUUAGGGGCUGGAGAGAAGCCAACAGGAUUUAGCCUUGGGUAUGAAACAGGAAGAGGAGGGCUGGGGGAAGAGAAAGCUCCCAAAGACAAAGCGAAAAUAGUCAGACUUGGCAAUGACUGUUGUCUGCUGUCUUGCGUAUCUCGGGUGCCUUCCAAGUGUGUUUCAUGUAGCCUAGUUUACAGAGGAGGGUGGGCAGGUCUGCCAUGACGAACCCACAGAACUACACAAGCUCCGUCCCUUCCUUGCUUUCUGUGCCCCAGGCUCUCUUGUGCAAGAGUAAACAGAAUUUGACUGGCUUUUUAGUUUUUGGUCGGGGAGGGUUGUUGUUCUCUUUGAGGCAGACAAAUAUAAGCAACCAUGACUUGUUUUUACCACUUGGGCAAGGAUUUGAAAAAGGGCAAAGACAACCUGCGACUCCAGAGGCCAGAUUCAGGGUCAGUUUUCCCUCCUCAAGUUAACAUUAACCUUUAGGUAAACGGAGCCACACCUCCUAGAGGGCUUGGUAAACAGCAGCCAUUGUGGAGGCCAGGGGAGGGGAGCCGGCCGUUUACCUGGCAGGAAGCGAGCAGUCCAAGGUCAAGACUUCAUGUACUGCAGUCCUCUUGAACUUUUCCAAGAAUAUGCCUGUUCACAGAGAAAAACUGACGCACAACGCCCAGCUUUCAUCCGUUAAUUGCACUGAGUGCAACCUUUCUCCCCGUGCUCAGGGCAGGCAUCACCACAGAUGGCUUGGCUGUGAGGAACAGCCCUCUUCAGAGAGAGAGAGAAACAGGGGGCAGUUCUUGGCCGCUUAAUAGCUCUGCUGUUCCUCUCAGUGGUGGCUAUGAGCAUUCAGUGAGAUGGUGUGUGUGAAAAUUCUUUGGAAAACCUAAGGAUUUAUGUCCAUGUAGGAUUUUAUUAUUAAAUUAUUCAUAGGUAGCCCCUGAAUUAGAGCACCCUCCCCCAUUUUGGUUUGAAAAAGAAAUGGGAGAGUGGUGGCAGGGUAUCAUAAUGUUAAAUAAAACAUGGCUGUAAGGUAUCGAAGUUGUCAGGAAUUAGCAAGGUUGAGUAUAGAGGGGAGGUGAUUCCCAAGAGGUUGUGUGACUCUGGUGAGCCUGCUGUAAUUGCAUGUUGCUGGUGGUAGUUGAAAUUGUUGGAAUCCCUCUGGGAAAUAACAUGGUGAUAUAAAUAAAUAAAUAAAAUAUCAGAGGCUACAUAAUUUCCGUAUUCAUUAACUUAGUAAUCCUGGUUCUGGAUAAAUAUCUUAAGACUAUAAUCCUAAAGAAAUAAAGGCUCUUCUAUACAUGAAAGUGUGCAUUUUAGAGCUAUUUAUAUAAUAGCAGAAUUGAAAGCAACUUUCAUUGCCAAUAACUGCAUUUAAUUGCAAUGGCUGGUUAAAUUCAGACACAUUCCUUCAGUGGGAUAUUAUUACACAAUGAUGAAAAGCUACAACUAUGUAAACUUUACCACAACCAAAAGAAUGGUUAUGAUAUGAUAGUAAGGGACAAAAAGCAGAUCAUAUGUUUUUUAUUACAU